rnacentral:lncRNA from 1 species
CAUAGCGAGUGUAUUUUGCUGCACCAAAGCAGAAUUUUGCUACUGCAUAGACUGCAUCAUAUCCCUCAUCAUUCUCAUCAUCUCCAUAGGAUCAUCGUCGUUAUUAGGUGGAGGAGGAAUUCUACGAGACAUUCUCUGGAUAGAGGAAAGAAUAAAACUGGUUAGUCUUAUUCAAAGAUUUAGAAUAAUUGUCCAUGUACGAUUCAAAGCACACAAACACAACAAAGGGAUGUACAUAAUCCUACAGGCUCUCUAAGGAUAAAAACUGCUCUGAUACCACAAAU